AACGCUGGCGGUAUGCUUAACACAUGCAAGUCGAACGGAAACGAUACUAGCUUGCUAGUAGGCGUCGAGUGGCGGACGGGUGAGUAACGCGUAGGAAUCUGCCUGAUAGUGGGGGAUAGCCCGAAGAAAUUCGGAUUAAUACCGCAUAAUCUAUUCGUAGUAAAGUGGGGGACUUUCGAGCCUCACGCUAUCAGAUGAGCCUGCGUAAGAUUAGCUUGUUGGUAGGGUAAAAGCCUACCAAGGCGACGAUCUUUAGCUGGUCUGAGAGGAUGAUCAGCCACAUCGGGACUGAGACACGGCCCGAACUCCUACGGGAGGCAGCAGUGGGGAAUAUUGGACAAUGGGGGCAACCCUGAUCCAGCAAUACCGCGUGUGUGAAGAAGGCCUGAGGGUUGUAAAGCACUUUCAAUUGUGAAGAAAAGUUAGCGGUUAAUAACCGUUAGCCUUGACGUUAACUUUAGAAGAAGCACCGGCUAA
rnacentral:rRNA from 1 species